AAAAUUGAGGAAAACAAUAUUUGUUAGAGUCAGGAGACCCAGGGAAUCCCAAGUGGGAUUUAAAAAUAAGAAAUCCACACUUAGACACAUCAUAGUGAAACUGCACUACCACAAAAGCAAAUAGAAUAUACUGGUAGGUUGGGCAUGGUGUCCCACACCUGUAAUCCCAGCACUUUGGGAGACCAAGGUGGGCAGAUCACUUUAGGUCAGGAGUUCAAGACCAGCCUGGCCACACAUGGUGAAACCCCAUCUCUACUAAAAAUACAAAAAUUAGCUGGGCAUGGUGACACGCACCUGCAUUCACAGCUACUCAGGAAGCUGAGGCACAAGAAUUGCUUGAACCUGGGAGACGGAGGUUGCAGUGAGCUGAGAUCGCACCACCGCAUCACUGCACUACAGCCUGAGUGACAGAGCAAGGCAAAAGAAAAAAAAGAAUAUAUUGGCAAAUAGCCAGAGAAAAAAUCACCCUCAAAAGAGCAACAAUUAGACUAACAGCAGACUUUUCAACUGCAGCAAUAGAAACCAGAAGAUAGUGAAGGAUCUCCAAAAUAUUAAUACUAACAGAAAAUAACUUCCAACUUAGAAUUCUGUACCCAGCAAAACCAUCUUUCAAAAAUGAUAGUGAAAUAAAAAUGUUUCCAGACAAACAAAAAUAUUAUAAUUUGAAAGUUCUAAGCAUAACAAAAGCAACAAGGAAAAUAGCUAUUUCCUUGCAUGCCUUCUUUAUGUAUGGUCAAGAGAAUAAUUGAAAUUUUAACAAUUAAACUGACCUUUUUGAAUAGCUGAAAGUCCUUAUUUUAAGGAAGUCAAAAUUAAGUUGUAAUAGUACCAGCUAGAAAGUUAGGAACUAUUGUGUCUUCUAAAAAUCACAGUGAAAAUGGGAAAGAAGAGGAAACUUUUUUGUUAAGGAUGCAUGUUCCCUACAACAGUUUUUCUAACAUAUGCUUUUUGUGGGAGGCUGAGGUGUCCUCUUUUAACAUCUCUGUUUAAAAACCCAGUGUUAGACCAGUAAAUUAUAUUAGACCAAUAAAAAUAUAGGACAUUAAAUCUAUAGAAUACUAUGCAAAAUUUAUAUUCUGGUUCCACAGGCAAUCAGGAAUGAUACAUAUGGCAAUAUCUCAAGAAAAUUAUUUCAAAUUUGUCCUCGUAGAUUUACAAGGUAGUUAGAUUCAAUAUUUCAGUUGAAAAACAUGAUAGAUAAGCAUUCAUUUGAGAUAAGUAAUGAUCUUAGUAUUAGCUAAAGAUUUAGCCAUUUAUUCAUCUCUUCUUAGUAUAUUUAGAUAACUCUUUAGAUAACUGUAAAAUUCUUGGAGAAAGAAUUUUUUCUAUUCUUAAGGAAGAAUAAAAAAAGUGUCUCCUGUUUCUUAUUAUUGAAGUUAUACGCAUAUCUCAGUGGGAACGGGAAAUAUGCAAAGACAGUUUUGUAUCCUUUUAUAUAAAAAAUUACUCUUUCACUUGAAUGUGAUGACUGGAGAUAUUUUAUGGUGGCAGGGUGCAUACAUAGUAUAUCUAAUAUAGCAUAGAAAAGGGUUUUUUUUUAGCAUCAUCAAUGAAGACUCUAAGCUUUCAAGGCCCUAGUAACAUCAGUAAGAGGCUAGGGAAAUUAAUAAGCAAAAUAUUAACAGUAAACAGAAAAAAGAUAAGUAUAGGGCAGCAGUGUACAACAGUCAAUGUGGUUACUCUUUCAAAUUUCAGACCAUGACCUUGGCUGCAGCUGGAAUUUGGGCUCCUGGACAAAGUGAUGGCAAAAGACAGCUACUUUGAGCCUUUUGAAUUUAAGAUCUGUGAUACUAUAUAUUGUGCUUACAAUGAACAGUAUUGACACUCAGUAAAUAGAAAAGAAUAUAUCAUUUAAUAAUGAUAAUUUGAAAAAUAGGCUAAGUCUCUGAAUAAAGGAUUGGCUAAGAAAGCAAAAAACAUCAGUAUGGUAUCAAACACAAUACUAAGGACAGAGGUGCUUAAUAAAUAUUUGCCAUUAACUAUUACUUUGGACAAGUUAUUAUAUUUUUGCACUUUAUCUUUUCUAAAUCAAAGUGAUAACUCCUAUAGUUUUCUAAUUAGCAGGAGUUAAUAUUAGUGUUUGAAAAGCACUCUUUUCAGAGUCCCCAGAGAAUAGGAAUACGUGAAGAACUUUGUGUGGGUUUUUUUUAAGAGAGAAAUGAAAAGGGGUGAGAAAACUUAUACUCUAUCAAAUUUGAAUUGUGCCGUGAAGGAAAAAUAUAGUUAUGAAACAAAAGAAGAAAUACAAUUUUGAAACUUUAUAGUAGUCCUGUGUCCUAGAAAUGGUAAAGCUGGCUUAUGAUUUGGAGCUGAGAAAGAAAAUUUAAGUAAUAUCUUUGUUGAAUGAUGUCAUCCACUCCAGGACUGCGUGUUGUUGUUUUUUUGUUUGUUUGUUUGUUUGUUUCUGUGGGGAGGGGGUUGGUUGGAAUAUGUCAUGGAGGAAUUUCCAGCUAUUGCAGUUUCCUUUAGCAUGCUACUGAAUGAAACUACUGAUGGCUCAGAAGACAGCCAGCUCCAUGUCUCCAUUAUGUGCAUAGCACACCUUCACAAAAAAAUUCUAUUUUAAGAACCCCUUUUGGAAUCUUUAAAAGCCAUCAAUAUCUUUGAAAUAGUAAAACAUUUUUGUCGAGCAAAACAACUAUGCUUCUCAACUUUUUCCAGUUAAAACAGCCUAUGGCAAAAAUGGUAAUCUUUGUGCAGUAAAAUGGGAUAAACAUAGGAGCUUGCUUACAGAGAAGACCAUUCCCACCCAGUUUCCCCAAGGGCAGAGGGGAUCAAUAGGUUGGAACACCUGUAAGAAAUUCAGGCACAAAGGUUGGGAUGUUCUACUCUAGAAUAGCUGUGGUGUUUGGCAAAGAACAAAGUUCCAUGCAUAGAUGAGUCUUUUUUUUAGAUGGAGUCUCGCUGUGUCACCCAGGCUGGAGUGCAGUAGUGCCAUCUCGGCUCACUGCAACCUCUGCCUCCCGGGUUCAAGCGACUCUCCUGCCUCAGCCUCCUAAGUAGCUGGGAUGACAGGUGCGUGCCACCACACCCGGCUAAUUUUUGUAUUUUUAGUAGAGACGGGGUUUCACCAUGUUGGUCAGGCUGGUCUCGAACUCUUGACCUUGUGAUCUGCCCACCUCAGCCUCCCAAAGUGCUGGGAUUACAGGCAUGAGCCACCGCGCCUGGCCUCAGUGAGUCUUUUUGAGGCUUUGUCAUCAAAGUCUCAGUCAACAGUCCCAAAAUAAAUGUUGCCUGUUGCUGGGAAAGUGAGCAAGCCUUUUAAAUAAUUUUGCAAAGAACUGUGAGUAAAUGACACUCUACUCAACUACAAAGAAAUUGGCUGAGCAUCCCAAGAGCAAAUCUUGAAGAGCUUGAUUGAAUUUAAGACAAACAUUUUAGUUUUUUUUGUUGCUUACUGAAAGAAAACAAACGACCAUUCUAGAACAACAGGGAAAAGCCCAUUCAUGGCUUUGAUAAAUACCUGAGGUAAAUUUUUGAUGUAACUUAAGAUUGAAGAAGAGGAGAUUUGAGAGGAUAACCACAUAAACUGUCCAGUGAUGGAGGAAAUGAUUCUGCAACUGAGGUGAUAAAACUUCAUCAUGCAACUUGAAUUGAUAAAGUUUUAUCAAUUUCCCAGUAGGCAGAGAUCCAAAAAACAAGAAACACUACAAUCACCGAUGUUACAGAUGACAUAUAUGUAGCUAAGGCAAAGACAACUCCUCUGUGUCAACUUCACAAUCAAGACAAACAGCCUUCUCAAUGAAAUUUUAAGCAGAAUUAAAGCUAACUUUUUGUUUUCUCUGAACAAUUUGGUUUUGGUUUCCUAUUUGUUUUUCAGAAUGAAACUGUUAAUUUUUGUAUAUAAAAAGGAAGACAAAUCUUAGUAAAAGUAUAUUUUUUUAAUUUUAUGUAAGAAAAUCUAUUUUCAGUGCAAUAAAAUUAAUUGUAUGUGAAUCUUUGGGUGCAUGCUUCAUGUGCGUUUUCUGCAAGGGAGGAUCCAUAGCUUUCAUUUGAUUCACAGAUGUGUCUGCUCCUCCUCCCCUACUUUCCUCCACUUCAAACUUUAUGGGUUACUAAUAUAGAGUAUAGAGUACUCUAG
rnacentral:lncRNA from 10 species